rnacentral:rRNA from 1 species
AGCGAACGCUGGCGGCAGGCUUAACACAUGCAAGUCGAGCGGGCACUUUCGGGUGUCCGCGGCGGACGGGUGAGUAACGCGUGGGAACGUGCCCUCUGGUUCGGAAUAACUCAGGGAAACUUGAGCUAAUACCGGAUACGCCCUUUUGGGGAAAGGCUUGCUGCCGGAGGAUCGGCCCGCGUCUGAUUAGCUAGUUGGUGAGGUAACGGCUCACCAAGGCGACGAUCAGUAGCUGGUAUGAGAGGAUGAUCAGCCACACUGGGACUGAGACACGGCCCAGACUCCUACGGGAGGCAGCAGUGGGGAAUAUUGGACAAUGGGCGCAAGCCUGAUCCAGCCAUGCCGCGUGAGUGAUGAAGGCCUUAGGGUUGUAAAGCUCUUUUAUCCGGGACGAUAAUGACGGUACCGGAGGAAUAAGCCCCGGCUAACUUCGUG